CAAAUUAGAAUUCUUAGUGGGUCCCACAACUGACCAAGUGCCAUUGAGGUCCAUUGGCGUGAUCGCGUCAGCUUCCCAAUCUCUGAUUUCUCCUGCUGCUUCUUCAAAUCUUCAAUUUCGUCUUUGUUUUCGAGUCACGAAACGAUUUAUCUGACUUCGCUAGUUCGAAUUGGGUCGAUUUCUGAAACCUUCUGUUGGAUUCUUUCAUGGAGGAAAGCAAAACAAGGUGAAAGUGAAAGGAAGAGGAAGAAGAAGAUGACGAGUUCCUCGUACCAGAGGAUGAGUCUUUUGUACAAGAAGAGAAGUGUUCCUUGCCUUUGUUCAGGAUUUUAGAAUCUGUCUCUUUACAAGAGCAUUAUGUGCCCAGAAUUUCAUCAGUGAUCGAUUCAGGUGUUGGUUGUCUACUUUGGUCAUUUUCUGCCUUUUGCUUGCUAAAUUAAUUUAAUCCUCUUGAGCAUUUGGUGCU